AGGUCACUGUGCCGCGUGUGCAGGGGAGACGCCAAGCAGGAGGGGCGCUGAGCCGGGGCCCUGGAGCGGGGACAGGGGAGCAGUCUGCAGGGGUGGGAGAGUGUGGGAGAGCAGAGGUGGUCCACAGGGCGACAAGAGUGACAAAGGACAGGUGAUGGGGCCUGGCAGGGAGGGCGGGAGAGGCUGGUGAGAGGAUCGGGGAGUGUGCGGUGCCACGAGGGUGGUACAGAGCCCAGAGGGAGUGGAUAUGGAGAGAUCAGGAACUGGGUCCCCCACGUGGGGACAAGGGCGUGAGGAAACUGGUGUCAGAAGAAAAGCAUGGUGUUAGGUAAGACAAGAAAGCACAGAGGGAUGUGAAGAAUGUGUGAUGAAUGUGGGAGACAUGGAAGGAGGCCAGAGGUUGAGGAGGGAGAGGUAGUUGGCUGGGUAAUUUUUAGAGAGAAUCCUGUCAGGAUGGGGUGUGUCUAGGUCAUAGAGAAGUCUAGAGGAGGACCAACGUUCUCGAAAAUGGCAGAGCUGAAAAGGUGGGGUGCCUAGUGGUGAGUCUGGACAGUAGGUUGAUUCUGUACAGCACCCGGUGUUGAGGAAGGUGACCAUGGAGGGAGGAGGGCUGUCUUGAAGGGAGCGGUGAAGAGACAAUGGGAUGUCACAUGACUAGCACGUGAUGGGGAGGUAGGACAUAACAUAGAUGGGGAAGCAGAGGAUCUCUCAGAGAUAGGAGUGGUGAAUAGGCCGAGGAUGGGCCCAGAAGGUUCAGUCUACAUCCAGCAGAGGGAGAGCAAGACAGUGAAGACUGAGGCAGCCACAAAGAGUGGGUCCAUGGGAUGUGAGUCAUGUCAGGGAAAUCGGUGGGAGAACGAGGUACAGGCAGUAGGGAAGAGGGGACGGAAUCUCUUGAACACACCAGAGGGUCAGGGGCACCAUGGAAAAGGGGAAGGGGUACAAAGAACUUCUAAUCUGGGGACAUCAGCAGAUCUCGGGGGUGGCACAAAGAUUGUCGUGUGUGGUACUGAGGCUGGACAGUAGCAAGAGAGCAGAGGGAAGAUGCUACCACCUGGGUAUAGGGAUCCGGGGCUCUCAGGAGCAAGGAGGAACAGGGGACACAGGGACAGAGGUGACUGAGGAGUGUGGCAGCCCUGUGCAUCAGAACAGGUACUGAAUACAGACUGCUGAUGGGAGACCUCAGGGAGUUCACGGUGGUCUCAGGGAAUGGAGUCCAGUAUGUAGGUCACACAUAUGCUUUGAAAUGGGGGAGGAGCUAACAGGAAGCAAUGCGUAAGUGACCUUUCUCAACAGUCACCAAAUUCCUGCUUCUGCUAUUCCAGGGUUGAAGGGUGGAAUUCAAACACGUGGCUAGAGACUCCAACAGGGACUUUCAGCUGGGCAGGGGUACACCUUCAAAAACCUAAGAAUGCCACAGGUUUGGUCCAGGAACAUGAUGGCGGCAGCGGAGGGGCCCAGGAGGAGAGCAAGGGGCGGGGUGGGGGGUAAGGUCUGGGGACACUUGUUUUAGAGGCUUCAUUGGGUGGACAACUGAGGUGGGAAGCCUGCCCGGGAUGGAGAGAGACAGGAUGGGCUCAAAAUCACGUGGCCGAGCAGGAAGGAGGGCGGACGGGCAUCUGGACAGUGUCAGUGGGGUGUGCAGGGUGGGGGUGCCUCAGGGGACCCAGGGGAGAAGGAAUGGAAGCAAGGGAGGUGAGGGAAGGAGCACGAGCUGGAAGUCCAGGUCUGGCAUAAAGUCCUGUGUGCAAGGGCUCGACUGAGAGGGAAGACAGAGGAAGGAGGAAGGUGAGGUGGGGUGAGGCUAGGGGAAGGGGAGCCUCACACAGGGAGGCGGGUCAGAGCCGGUGGAAGGACCAGAAGAGCGACAGCAGAUGGUUUCAGAGAGGACAAUGGCCUGUUGAGGGGAUGGAAAGAGUGUGAGCUGAGCCCAGGUCCCGGGAAAGGAGCGCUUCCGAUGGUGAGGGGACGACCCAAUGGGACUCCAUGACAGGCUCUGGGGAGCUUUGAGGUGCACGAGUCCUAGGGAAGAGGCAGGGCGCUUUCCCCGGGCUGAGGAGGAAAAGGGAAGAAAUGCAGCCUGCGAGAAAAGAUCUUGAGAAAGACCCUCCAAAGGGGUCUUGAUGGAGUGUGACAGAAGGGUCACGUCUCAGAGACAGGCAAGGUGAAGGGAGGCACCCAGGGGACGAAGGAGAAGGGAGACAGGCUGGACACCAACAGGGUGAGCAGAGAAGAGGGAGGUGGCAAAGAAGGCGUCCGGACCCGUCUCCGAGGUGCCCCCCAAGAGGAAGCUCAGAGAGGUGGGCCAGCCGAGGGCGGCCCGAGCGGUGGCAGGGGAAGGAGGGAAGAAGAAGAGGUGGUGGCAGGAGCUGCUCCCACGGCCUUGAAUAUGGUGGCGAGGGUAGAUCUUUUCGGCCAGGCUCUUUACUACGGAUCCGGAGGGGACGGGGUGGGAGGUGGGGCUGGGGUUAGUGACAGGACUUGGCUUUGAUGGGGCUGGACAUGAGGGCAGGAUAGGAGCAAUGGAGAGGGGUGUGGGGAGACAUGGGCAGACUCCAGACAUAGAGAUAAGCCCGUUCUCAAACUGAGCUUGUGGACUGAUUCACACCCAGUGUUGAGGGCGACGAGCGCAGACUGAAGAGACGACGGGGAAGACUGGGGAGUCCACAUGGAGAGGACAGGAGAGCAGCUGCCAGAAAGGCAGAGGGAGAGGUGCGCUUGGCAGGAGUCACAGAGGGACGUGAGGGCCAAGGCUCUGCAGGGGAACGGUGUCCUGACAUAUACCAAGAGAAAAACACUAGAAAAAGAGACAGCCACCAAGAGCGUCAGGGCAGGGGUCAGGAAGAGAACAGUGCUCUAGCGCACAUUGGGGUUUGGGUUAGGUCACAUGUCAGAGAGUAAAUACGGGGGGGACGCAGGGGAUCCAAGGGCAGAGAGCCGGCCCGUGUCAGCCGCUGGGGCGGUGCUGGGCCUGGAGGACAAGCGUUCCCGGCCGCUGAUGGAAGCAGGAGGCUAGAGGUGCGCGAGGGCGGGGCGCUGCCCAGGGAGUCCAGGCAACCUUCCAUUGCAGUGAUUCUCCCCGAGGGUGGGGGGGUGGUUUUCACCCGAGGGGGGCUGUGGGCACGGCCCCCAGGGCAGGCCUAUCAGAACAUCUGAGGGGGAGCUGUGCUCUGCUCAGUGCAAAAGCAAACCCAACAACACGCCCAGACGAUGACGCUGAUAGGCAGUCCUGGGGGUCGUGGGUCCUCGGGUGAGAAUCACUGGGUGGAAGGGGCCGAGUGGAAGGCGGGCAGAGAGGUGACGCUUGAGCAGGUGAGUCCCCGGGCCAGGGUAGGUGACGGGGGAGGCCGCAGAGUCAGGGCCGUGAGACGUGGGGGAGAAGGAGCCCGGCCCAGGCAGACAGCGAGCAAAUGGAUGUAGCCGAGAAGGCCUCUGGUUCGAUGUGGGGAUCGGGGUGGUGGGGUGGUGGAGGGUUGCAGGCUGGGGUUUCCUGUCAGUGGGUCGGGGGUGCAGACCAGCGGAGGACACUGGAAGAGGAAGGCGGAGGGAGACGGCAGUGGCUGGAGCGGGGUCAGCGCCGUGUGUCUGAGGCAGAGACGACUGACCUGGGCUGAGCGGCGGGUGCGGGAUGGAGAAGGGCGCGCUCAGCAGAGGAGACCCCGAGUCCAGCGGGAUGACUCCCAGAGGGUGGCUGAAGGAACGUCAGGUG